GUCAGGAUGGCCGGGCUGUCUAAGGUUGCAGACUCAAAUUUCCAAACUUGCUUCGCUAAUGCGCUGCCAAAGAGCGUUCUGGUCCACUAUUGUGGGCGUGGGUUCGAAUCCCACUCCUGACA